rnacentral:rRNA from 3 species
AAUUUUUAUGGAGAGUUUGAUCCUGGCUCAGGAUGAACGCUGGCGGCGUGCCUAAUACAUGCAAG